UACAGAGGGGGCAAGCGUUUAUUCGGAAUUAUUGGGCGUAAAGGGCGCGUAGGCGGCUUGGCAAGUGGAUGGUGAAAUCCCUCGGCUUAACCGAGGAACGGCCGUCCAAAACUGCUUCGCUUGAGACCGGGAGAGGUGAGUGGAAUUCCCAGUGUAGCGGUGAAAUGCGUAGAUAUUGGGAGGAACACCAGUGGCGAAGGCGGGACUCUGGGCCGAUACUGACGCUGAGGAGCGAAAAGCGUGGGGGAGCGAACGGG
rnacentral:rRNA from 1 species